GAUUUCUAUUUUAUUUUGUGUAAUUUGUAGAUUUCUCAUUAACCUUGUGAAGCAAAAGCCACAAAUAACAGAAGAACAACUUGAGGCUGUCAUUGCAGAUUUCUCUGGUCUACUGGAAAAGUGCUGCCAAGGCCAAGAGCAGGAAGCCUGAUUUGAGGAAGAGGGUCCAAAACUGAUUGCAAAGACUCGUGCUGCUUUAGGGAGUUUAAAUUACUUCAGGUAACAAAAAAUUCAGACAAGGAUAAAUAUAAUGAUCAUUCUCCCAAAAUACUGAUCUAUAGCGAAAUAUGUCCUAAGACCUACCAUUAAACUUUUUAAAAAAGAUUUUAUUUUUAUUUAUUUGACAUAGAGAGACAGACAGAGAGAGAGAGAGCACAAGCAGGGGGAGCGACAGGCAGAGGGAGAGGGAGAAGCAGGCUUCCUGCUGAGCAGGGAGCCUGAUGUGGGACUCGAUCCCAGGACCCUGGGAUG
rnacentral:lncRNA from 1 species